rnacentral:lncRNA from 1 species
AUCUCUGCAUAUAUGGAAAUGUAUAAACAUUGUUUUCUCACUCUGGUAACUAAUGGUUGACCACCAUUUGUUGGACGAUGGGUGGGCUUCACUGUUAAGCACUAUUGCCGUGCAACAAAUGGUGGUCAACCUGCAGUUAACAGAGUGAGAAAAUAAUGUUCAUUCUUUUAAUUAUAUAUCAUAGUCUGGUAAUAGAUAUCUUAAUGUCUUGUCGGAAAUGUAGUUUAAUUUUCUAUAAGUGUCCAUACAUUUUUUAAGUUGGCUGUCCUGUCAGCCUUACUGAAAUCAACCAAUACAUGCAGUGUACUAACACACUAACCUUAGUAUAGUCGCAGCCAAUUGAUUUAAAAUCACAUUCCACGUCGAUUUCUUCACAUUCCUCAGUCUGAUGCUUUCUCAUUUUCUUUCGAGGUAUAUUCGUUAACUGACAAUAUUCACAUGUGAGGGGAGCUGACUGACAACUUUCUGAUACAUGUUUCUAUACAAAAAAAUAAGUAUUGACAAUUGUAUAAAAUUCUAAUUCACUGUAAAAGUGGGCAAAUAUAUUUUCUUUGCAUGCGCUGUGAACUUCAGUUCCUCCCUUUUUGAUUGAAGUUUCUUGAUUUAAUAUUUAGAUUUUUCCAAUUUCCGGGAACCAAUGGUUCCAUGGUCCACCAUGGUCCGAGGUAGAGGGGAGGUGUUGCAGUUUAGAGCUGAUUGCGAAUGGCACAGCUCAGAUGUGACCAAGUUUAAGGCUCACUAUAGGGCGCCUCUGCAUACGAGCAUGUCUUAUCAAGGAGUAGCUCCGAUAGAAGGGUCAGUUUUUGUUGAAGGAGAACCAACCAAACUCUACUUAUGUGUUUUCAAACAAAUCAAGUCAGAAUAUAGAUACCUAUCAAGUAACAAGCCCUCCUC